UACUCCUACGGGAGGCAGCAGUGGGGAAUAUUGCACAAUGGGCGCAAGCCUGAUGCAGCGACGCCGCGUGAGGGAUGGAGGCCUUCGGGUUGUGAACCUCUUUCGCCAGUGAAGCAGGCCUGCCUCGUUUGUGGGUGGGUUGACGGUAGCUGGAUAAGAAGCGCCGGCUAACUACGUGCCAGCAGCCGCGGUAAUACGUAGGGCGCGAGCGUUGUCCGGAAUUAUUGGGCGUAAAGAGCUCGUAGGCGGCUGGUCGCGUCUGUCGUGAAAUCCUCUGGCUUAACUGGGGGCUUGCGGUGGGUACGGGCCGGCUUGAGUGCGGUAGGGGAGACUGGAACUCCUGGUGUAGCGGUGGAAUGCGCAGAUAUCAGGAAGAACACCGGUGGCGAAGGCGGGUCUCUGGGCCGUUACUGACGCUGAGGAGCGAAAGCGUGGGGAGCGAACAGGAUUAGAUACCCUGGUAGUCCACGCCGUAAACGUUGGGCACUAGGUGUGGGGGGCCUUUUCCGGGUCUUCCGCGCCGUAGCUAACGCAUUAAGUGCCCCGCCUGGGGAGUACGGCCGCAAGGCUAAAACUCAAAGGAAUUGACGGA
rnacentral:rRNA from 1 species